GAAGUACUCCCUCCGUUCGGAAUUACUUGUCGCAAAAAUGGGUGUAUCUAGACGUAUUUUAGUUCUAGAUACAUCCAUUUCCGAGACAAGUAAUUCCGAACGGAGGGAGUACUAC
rfam:Triticum aestivum genome assembly, contig: Triticum_aestivum_CS42_TGACv1_scaffold_288351_4AL